GCCAAAUCAGCUUUAUAGCUCUUCUUUUCCAGGUUUAUCAGUCCAUCAAUACAACUUGCAGGACUCUCAUAAAAAUUCAAACCCCUUUCUUUUUUACUGUAAAUGUCAAACAACAUGGGAUGGAGCGACGCGGAGUUCUUCAGAAUCACGGUGUGAAUCACGGCUGGUAUUGGUGUAAUCUUCGUUUGGUUGUCGUUGCGGAGGGAGAAUCGGCCGAUGGUUGGAGGUGUCGGAGUCGUGGAUGCUGGGUGCUGCCUCGGCCGCUUUCGUUGAUUGAAAUGAUGAAGGUUCCGCGAUUUGAUGUUGGCGUGGUGUUUCCCGGCCGCGAUUUGUUGACGGCGGAGGGAGAUUUGACUGGUCGGAACUAUAGGUGAACUAACAGUGUUUGUGCAGCUGUUGCGGCGGUGAUCCAGCUUUCCGGUGAGUCUGCGGCUUGUGCAUAUGGACGGUGAUGUCGUGUGCCAUGGCGGUUUCGAGCGGCUUUUGCAUCGGAUCUUUGUUCUCUCUUUUUUCUAUUUUUCCUGCAAAACAAAGUGUGUUUGUUUGGUUUGAAUGUGCAAGGUGUAUGUUUAAGACAAUGAGAACCAAGGUUUGCAGUGUAACAACGCGGGCUAUGAAUUAGGGGUGUUCAAAAAUUUGGUUAACUGAACCAAAUAUCUUAUCUGAAUUGAACUGAACCAUAAAAAACUUAAACCAUUUAAAUGGUUAAUGAAUUGAAUUGUUUAUUUUAACCAAUUUAAACUGUUAUAAAUUGUUUCCACAAUUUUAUCAAAAAUGUAAUUAAUAUUAUUUAACAAAUUCAAUAAAUUUAACAAAUCUAAUAAACAUUUUAAUUACAACAACAUUUUCAAUUUUUUACACGUUGUUCUUCCCCAAAAUGUGAAAUGGGAACCCUAAAAUCUCAAGUUUCUCUCUAACUCACACUAAGCUUCAAUUUCAAUUUUCUUCAAUUUCAAUUUUCUUCAGUGGCAAGGGAUUCAAGCUUUUCUGAGAGGUUCUUUGGUGGUGGUUUCUACGCCGACGAGUGACUUUGAUUGCGGAGGCUGCGGCGGUUGCUAUAGUAGCUAGAGGACUGAGAUUACUCUACUCUCAAUUUUGAUUUCAACGAUUUCACCCGAUUUCACCUUCUCUAUUCCGAUCUUCUUCGUUCAAACUCUUCUCUCGACUCUUUUUGAGGUUUGUAGGUGAAAUAGUUUGGUAGCAUGAAGUUAAGUUUAACAAGGCCAAAAUGGAGAAAACUUGGAGAUUGCUUGGACAUGAAGACAAAGUUUUUGGUCCACUUGUGGAAUAGGUCUAGGAAGGUUUAGGAUAAUGAUUUUCAGUAAGUCAAAGAUCUGGAGUUAACUGUUCUUUUUUGUGUAAUUUUUGCAAUUUCUUCAUGUUCUUGUGAUGGCUUUGCUUUGAAUGAUGUUUCACUUUAGCAUAUAUGACUCAACAUUAUGCCGUUUAUAAUUUAGUUUAGA